GCUGAUGUAGCACAGUCGGUAGUGCAAUUGAUUCGUAAUCAAUAGGUCGGCGGUUCGAGUCCGCCCAUCAGCUCCA
rnacentral:tRNA from 1 species